rnacentral:rRNA from 1 species
GGGGUGAUUAGUGGCGAACGGGUGAGUAACACGUGAGUAACCUGCCCCUGACUCUGGGAUAAGCCAGGGAAACUGGGUCUAAUACUGGAUAUGCACCGUGGACCGCAUGGUCCUUGGUGGAAAGAUUUUUUGGUCAGGGAUGGACUCGCGGCCUAUCAGCUUGUCUGGUGAGGUAAUGGCUCACCAAGGCGACCACGGGUAGCCGGCCUGAGAGGGUGACCGGCCACACUGGGACUGAGACACGGCCCAAACUCCUACCGGAGGCAGCAGUGGGGAAUUUUGCACAUUGGGCGAAACCCCGAUGCAGCGACCCCCCGUGAGGAAUGACCGCCUUCGGUUUGUAAACCUCCUCCACUAGGAAAGAAACCAAAGGGACCGUA